CAAUAGCGUAUAUUAAAGUUGUUGCGGUAAAAAGCUCGUAGUUGGAUUUCUGUUGGGACGCCGCGGUCCACUCCAUGAGUGCGUAUCUGUGUGCUUCCUGGCAUUCUCUCGGUGGACGUGUCUACGCUUCAUUGCGCAGCCGGACUUCGAGACUUUACUUUGAGGAAAUUAGAGUGUUCACGGCAGGCUUACGCCCGAAUAUACUAGCAUGGAAUAAUACUAUAGGAUUUUGGUUCUAUUUUGUUGGUUUCUAGAGCUGAAAUAAUGAUUAAUAGGGACAAUUGGGGGCGAUUCGUACCAUGAUGUCAGAGGUGGAAUUCUUGGAUUAUCAUGCGACGAACUACUGCGAAAGCAUUUGCCAAGGAUGUUUUCAUUGAUCAAGAACGAAAGUUAGGGGA
rnacentral:rRNA from 1 species